rnacentral:rRNA from 1 species
AUAGCGUAUACUAAAGUUGUUGUGGUUAAAAAGCUCGUAGUUGGAUCUCAGUUCGAGUCAGUCGGUCCACUUGCCAGUGGCUACUGACUGGCUGAACACUUUACCGAGUUGUCCUACAGUGCUCUUAAUCGAGUGUUGUAGGCGAUCGGUACGUUUACUUUGAAAAAAUUAGAGUGCUCAAAGCAGGCUAAUAAAGCCCGAAUAAUGUUGCAUGGAAUAAUGGAAUAGGACCUCGGUUCUAUUUUGUUGGUCUUCGGAAUCCGAGGUAAUGAUUAAGAGGGACAGACGGGGGCAUUCGUAUUGCGGCGCUGGAGGUGAAAUUCUUGGACCGUCGCAAGACGAACUAAAG